rnacentral:ncRNA from 13 species
UCCUGAUGAACAAUCAGAUGACGAGUCUUAUCCGAGUUUUCGAUGCAGACACCCUAUUUACUACCAUUCAUGCAUUCUCUGAAU